rnacentral:rRNA from 1 species
AUUGAACGCUGGCGGCAGGCCUAACACAUGCAAGUCGAGCGGAUGAAGGGAGCUUGCUCCUGGAUUCAGCGGCGGACGGGUGAGUAAUGCCUAGGAAUCUGCCUGGUAGUGGGGGAUAACGUCCGGAAACGGGCGCUAAUACCGCAUACGUCCUGAGGGAGAAAGUGGGGGAUCUUCGGACCUCACGCUAUCAGAUGAGCCUAGGUCGGAUUAGCUAGUUGGUGGGGUAAAGGCCUACCAAGGCGACGAUCCGUAACUGGUCUGAGAGGAUGAUCAGUCACACGGGAACUGAAAAACGGUCCCAUCCCCCAGGGGGGGCCGGAGGGGGAAAUUUUGGAAAUGGGGCGAAAGCCUAAUCCAGCCAGGCCGGGGGGUGAAAAAAGGUCUUCGGAUUGUAAACCACUUUAAGUUGGGAGAAAGGGAAGUAAUUUAAACCCUUGCUGUUUUAAGGUUACCAACAAAAAAAACACCGCCUAACUUCGG